CAACCAACACAGAAUUAUAGCAUCUCAGAGUUGGAAGUAAUUCUUCAUAUGACCACCUUUUUUUUUUUUUUCCUGUUGUUCUGCAUCAAAUUUGUGAAGGCCCCUGGAGGAUUGGAUGGUGUCUGCCCAUAUGAAGGGUGGAUCUUCCCCAUCUCGUCCACUCUCCUCUAGAAAAACCCUUACAGACACACCCCAAAAUAACUUUUAGAGCCCCUAGAAGAUGCCUUAGAGACGAAAAAAAAAAAAAAAAAAAUGAAUGCAUUUCCCAAUCAGGAGGCAGCCAGAUGCAGCCAGAGUCCCUCUGAGCCCCAACUCACACUGUGACAAUUAUUCAACAAAACACAACUCUCUUGCCUUUGCUGAACCUCAACACCCUGCAUCCUGCCAAAUCUCCUCUUCCCGUUUAACCAGUCCAUCUAUGCUGGUGUCCAGCCAUUCCAGUCCACCAUGACAUUUAAAAAUCUUCCCAGCUCUGUGUGGAAGAUCGGAGACUUAAGAAAGAAAGAGACUGUUGCUCAGGGCUGGACAGGAAGGAAGUCUGCAUUCCUGGCUUCCAGAACAGAAUAGCAAUGUGGGUGACCCUUUCCCCCUCCUCAAGGCAUCCCCUUAGGCCAACACAAAAAUAGAUUCUAUCCUCUUGGUUUGUCUCCACCACCCUCUGGAAAGAAGACACAGGCUUCUAGUGAGUCAACAGUAUUAUCGGGGCUUGACUGUGUUUCAGGAAUGACCAGAUGUUGGGAAGAGGAUAAUGUGUCAUUUCCUUUAACAAAUAGUCCCGGCAUCUGUGCAUUUCCUUUUAAGCCAGCUCUUCAGGAGACUGCGCUGCAGUGACAGAGAAGGACACAUCAGCCUGGCUUCUACUCUCACAGGUACUGGGGGCCUUCUCGAAGCCUUUGGAUUCCAGCCCUCCGUUAGGAAAACAUUUCUGUCCUUUGUAUGCAUGAGUGACACCAUGAGAAGACAGCAUAGGGAGUGGUUACAAGCAAAGAAUUUGGAAACAAAAUAAAUGCUCUAAGGGAAAAAGACAAGUAGCCAAGGAACACUGGGAGAGGCUUGGAGGAAGCUAAUUGUUCAUCCAUUCCCCUAGAUCCGCGGUUCUCAGUAGUGAAUCAACAUGAACAGCAUUCGCCUGGGAACUUGUCCACCACCCCGCCCCUACGGAAACUCCAGGGGUGAAGCCCAGCAAUCUCCUUUGACAAGCCUUCCAGGAGAUUCUGGUGUGAGCUCAAGAUUGAGAACCACUGGUCCAGAUAGUUCUUAUCUGGUCCUAGGGCUUCCCAGAAAGCAUUAAAAAAAAAAAGCAGAUUCUCCUCCACAGGAGACCUACACACUGCCUCUCGUGCUGCCACCACGUCUCUAGUGACCCCUGAAAAGUUCCAGCAUAUUUUGCGAGUACUCAGCACCAACAUCGG